rnacentral:rRNA from 1 species
AGCUCUAAGAAAAUAUUUAGAGUUUAACCUGCUCAGUGUGUAUUAACAGCUGCGGUACUUUGACCGUACUAAGGUAGCAUAAUCAAUUGGCUUUUAAUUGGAGUCUAGAAUGAAUGGAUUAAUGGGGUUAAGCUGUCUCUAUUUUUUUAAUUUUAACUUACUUUAAAAGUGAAAAAGCUUUUAUUUAUUAAAAGACGAGAAGACCCUUGGAAUUUUGUUUUUGUUGGGGUAACACUGGAUUUUAAUAUCCAAUCAAAAUAAUAACACAACAAUUUUAUUUAAAAUGAAUAAAUUACCCAAGGGAUAACAGCAUAAUUCUUUGAGCUUGUGACCUCGAUGUUGGACUAGGUAAUAUAAUGGUUAGCCACCGCUAUAAACUGUUCUGUUCGAACUAACCACCU